rnacentral:rRNA from 1 species
GACGAACGCUGGCGGCGUGCCUAAUACAUGCAAGUAGAACGCAGUUGCGAACGGGUGAGUAACGCGUAGGUAACCUGCCUCAUAGCGGGGGCUAACUAUUGGAAACGAUAGCUACUACCGCAUACUGUGAGAUGGACCUUCGUUGUAUUAGCUAAUUGGUUAGGUAAAGGCUCACCAAGGAGACGAUAAAUAGCCGACCUGACAGGGUGAUCGUCGACACUGGGACUGCUACACGGCACAGACUAAUACGGAAGUCAGCAGUAGGGAUUCUUAGGCAAUGGACGGAAGUCUGACCGAGCAACACGGCGUGAGUGAAGAAGGUGUUCGGAUCGUAAAGCUCUGAUGUUAUAAAGGCGGUAACUAACCAGAAAGGGAAGGCUAACUACGUGCCAGAAGCAGCGGUAAAAC